rnacentral:tRNA from 1 species
GAGGGUAUAGCUCAAGUGGCAGAAUACAUGCUUGGCAUGCAUGAGAUCCUGGGUUCAAUCCCCAGUACCUCCU